rnacentral:rRNA from 1 species
GAUGAACGCUGGCGGAGUGCCUAACACAUGCAAGUCGAGCGGCAGCGGGCUCACAUUGCCUUGGUUUUAUAAACGAAGGCAGCGUGAGCGCCGGCGAGCGGCGGACGGCUGAGUAACGCGUGGGAACAUGCCCCAAAGUGAGGGAUAAGCAUCGGAAACGGUGUCUAAUACCGCAUAUGGUCUUCGGAUUAAAGGAUUUAUCCGCUUUGGGAGUGGCCUGCGUACGAUUAGAUAGUUGGUGAGGUAAAGGCUCACCAAGUCUACGAUCGUUAACUGGUUUGAGAGGAUGAUCAGUCAGACUGGAACUGAGACACGGUCCAGACUCCUACGGGAGGCAGCAGUGAGGAAUCUUCCACAAUGGGGGAAACCCUGAUGGAGCAACUCCGCGUGCAGGAUGAAGGUUUUCGGAUCGUAAACUGCUUUUAUGAGUGAAGAAUAUGACGGUAACUCAUGAAUAAGGGUCGGCUAACUACGUGCCAGCAGCCGCCGUAACAC